UACGUAGGGGGCAAGCGUUGUCCGGAUUCAUUGGGCGUAAAGAGCGUGUAGGCGGCCAGGUAGGUCGGUUGUGAAAACUGGAGGCUCAACCUUCAGAGGUCGACCGAAACCAUCUGGCUAGAGUCCGGGAGAGGAGAGUGGAAUUCCUGGUGUAGCGGUGAAAUGCGCAGAUAUCAGGAAGAACACCCGUGGCGAAAGCGGCUCUCUGGAACGGUACUGACGCCGAGACGCGAAAGCGUGGGGAGCGAACAGG
rnacentral:rRNA from 1 species